rnacentral:rRNA from 1 species
CCUACGUGUGGCAGCAGUGAGGAAUAUUGGUCAAUGGACGAGAGUCUGAACCAGCCAAGUAGCGUGAAGGAUGAUUGCCCUAGGGGUUGUAAACUUCUUUUAUAUGGGAAUAAAACGUUCCACGUGUGGGAUUUUGUAUGUCCCUUAUGAUUAACGAUCGGCUAACUCCGUGCCAGCAGCCACGGUAAUACGGAGGAUCCGAGCGUUAUCCGGAUUUAUUGGGUUUAAAGGGAGCGUAGGUGGAUUGUUAAGUCCGGUGUGAAAGUUGGCGGCGCAACCGUUAAAUUGCAGUUGAUACUGGCAGUCUUGAGUGCAGUAGAGGUGGGAGGAAUUCGUGGUGUAGCGGUGAAAUGCUUAGAUAUCACGAAGAACUCCGAUUGCGAAGGCAGCUCACUGGACUGCAACUGACACUGAGGCUCGAAAGUGUGGGUAUCAAACAGGAUUAGAUACCCCAGUAGUC